UCUGCCCUCGCGAGUCCGGUCAACACGGGCAUGUUCGCGAGCCUGCUAAGUCUCGUCAAUCUGAUUGCCCUAAGCUCUGCGUCUGAGCUCAUCAUCAAUGGCGGACUCCCCGAUUUCCCUCGACAAGCUCAAGGCUUUCUGGCGUUCCCAGGUUCAGGACGACGACAAUUGGGCUUUCAACAUGAAAAUGUUGCGAGCUGGUGGAUUGUUUGCAGGGUCUAUCUUCCUGAUGCGGCAGUAUGGCGACCUUAUGGCUGUGUGAUGAUCAACAGGAGUCACUAUGCCUUUGGAACCAUAUCACACCCUGGAUUUGAUAAGAUAGGAUGAAUUGAUGUUUAGCAGAAGCUCAUCCUGUUUUCUCCAUCUUAGUCACUUAGCCUGUUGUCAGAAUUCUCCAUUCAGAGUUUUUGAAGCAAUAUUUUGGAUACGGACAAAGACAGAUAUCUUCAUGCAUUAGCUGACGAUUUCUAUGGUUGUGUUUGAACAAUUUCUAGCUGUUGCAAGUAUUAGCCCUUACUGGUAUCUUGUUUGGAUGAACUAUUAGCAAUUUAGCAGUUGGAUGGCUUGGUUG